rnacentral:rRNA from 1 species
CGCGUAGGCGGCCCUGUUUGUCGCGUGUGAAAGCCCCGGGCUCAACCUGGGAAUGGCGCGCGAGACGGCGGGGCUGGAGUUCGGGAGAGGAGCGUGGAAUUCCCAGUGUAGAGGUGAAAUUCGUAGAUAUUGGGAAGAACACCGGUGGCGAAGGCGGCGCUCUGGACCGAGACUGACGCUGAGGCGCGAAAGCGUGGGGAGCAAACA